rnacentral:misc_RNA from 1 species
AAACUCUUUAUAGCAGUCAAAAAUCCCUGAAGUUUGGUGGUUUAGAUGAUGGUUUUGACAUUUUUGGUGUCUUCCAAAAUAACUCAAGGCAAACGACUAAGAAUGGCCCUGGGUCUUCUUUUGAUUACGAUUCCAUAUUCUCUAAUUCUAAUUACUCGAGUGCUAAAUUGUCAUCUGAUGGCGAUAUAUUGGGUGGGUUCAACAGCUCGAAUUCCAUUUAUAACGAUGAUAUUUUUGGGUCCUUUGCCUCUAAGCCGAAGCAAACUGCACCGAUUGAUGACUUGCUUGGGACCUUUGGCGGAAAAACGAAGAAAGCCGGAAAGGAUCUGCAGGUUUUGAUGCUUUGAUACCUGGGUUUGGUUCAAGCAACUUAUCAAAGGAGGGGCAUGUGACUGUGUGUUCUAUGAAAGUUUUAUUUCACUGAUUAGUUAAUUGAUUGUUUUGUUUUAUUUGUUAAAUGCCAAUGCUUUAGUUUAUUAAUAUUUGUAUUUAUUCCCGGGAGAAGGAUUAGCUUUUAGAUUAUCAGGGAACUUAAUUACUUUAAGAGAAGGG